rnacentral:snRNA from 1 species
GUUCUCGCUUCGGCAGCACAUUUACUAAAAUUGGAACUAUACAGAGAAGAUUAGCAUGGCCCCUGUGCAAGGAUGACAUGCAAAUUCGUGAAGCGUUCCAUAUUUUU